UACGAAGGGGGCGAGCGUUGUUCGGAGUUACUGGGCGUAAAGCGCGCGUAGGCGGCUUUGUAAGUUAGAGGUGAAAGCCCGGAGCUCAACUCCGGAACUGCCUUUAAGACUGCAUCGCUAGAACGUCGGAGAGGUAAGUGGAAUUCCGAGUGUAGAGGUGAAAUUCGUAGAUAUUCGGAAGAACACCAGUGGCGAAGGCGACUUACUGGACGACUGUUGACGCUGAGGUGCGAAAGCGUGGGGAGCAAACAGG
rnacentral:rRNA from 1 species